ACCAAAAAAUACUACAAUGCUUCCUUCUAGUAACAAUACUCCUUCAUUAACUGAUAACAACAGUGUGCAACCUUGCACUCUUAAAAGAGUGCUCAAAAUUCAUAAAUUCCAUCCAAUACCAGGAAUAAUAGACUUCACUCCAACCAAUCUAGAUUCACAGAAUUUUUGUAUCACGGACUUCCUCUGUCGAAACACACACACAACUCUCAAUAAACAACAAUCAUAAUCUUCCAUCCAUAAUCAAUUUUCCAAUAACUUCUUAUAUAAUUCAAUCACUCAAUAUUCUAAUUACAUAAUCAAUAACUCAUAAAUCAAUCUCAAAUUUAUUCCAUAGACUCACUUCUCAGUAUUCAAAAACUAUCCAUUACUCUUCAAUAACAAAGAAAACAAAGAAACAAAGAGG
rnacentral:lncRNA from 1 species